CAGAGGUUCUGCUGUGGUUUCGUCGGCAAGUACAUCAACAUCACGAUGAUGUCUUCAUGGUCGGGAUGGCACAAGCAGUGGUUCUACUGUGAGUUCCCUGACCGGGGUGCGCUUGAGUACAAGGGCAUCUAGGUGAAACCAUGUGCAAACUAGCAAGAGCCGUUCGAGGUGAACCAACAAACUCUAGAGUUGUCCCUGAGUGCCGCCAACAAAAGAGUGUGGUACCUCUUUGACAAGCCCUCAGCAGACAACUGGGACGACAUCCUAAAAGCUCUAUGCAACUUGCCACCCAAAGGAACCAUUGGUAGGGUGAGAAAGAGUAUAAGAUCUCCCUCGGACCAAUGUAGCCUAGUCCUGAACCGAGCUAGGAAGAAGGCACAUGUCAUAGAGGAUGACCUGGAGACGAAGUCCGACGAUGUGAUUGUCCAUGUCAUCCCUGCUCCGAGUACGGGGAUUCUGCCUGAGGACUUGAGCUUGCAUUGGUCAAAGGUGUUAAGGGAAGCAGAUGAUGCCUCGGCCACGACAUCGACACAUUUUGACAAAGGAGUCACCAGAGAAAAAAACCAAGGAAGAAAGAGCUGUUCAGGCGAUCCUCGCCCCCAAGUUCGACGCACGUCCUGCCAAAUCAGGAAUUCCUUCCCUUGAGGUAAGGGUGAAGCUCUCCCUCAGGUUUAAGAUUAAACCCCUAAGCCAUGUGGAUCCGAGCUCCAAAGUGUUUUGCAAAUUCCCUAGAGGCAUUGAAGCCCAUUGCCAUGCCUGCAAUGAUGGCUGCCUCUACUCUGUCCACCGUCAUGUCUAAGCUUGAGGAAAUUCUCUUGGGAAUGGAAGAUGUUGCGGUAGUCAUCUCUGAGAAAGGCGUGGGCACGACUAUGGUUGAGAUCCUAGCCGGUCCAUAAAUGAUUGGUGGCGGACUCAACACCGGCCCACUCAGGGGCCAGUUUUUGCAGAUCUGGUCGGAGGACGAUGAGCAGUUUGGUUUGACUCCCUUGACAGCUCUUUAAGAUAACAAAGCUUCAGUCAUCGUCCGAGAAAGUUACUUUCACUUAGGGAAAGUAUUCCAAAAGAUCUUCUUUUAGCCUAAUUGUUUCCUUGACUUUGUAAGCUACUCUCAACUGUAUAAUAAUUUUAAAGUUGUUGUUCACUUAGGAAGGUGCUUGAUUGCCAUUCUUCUACUGAGGUACCGGUGGAGGUUCCUGACGAGGGGCCUGAUAGUUUGAA